GAGUUUGAUCAUGGCUCAGGACGAACGCUGGCGGCGUGCUUAACACAUGCAAGUCGAACGGAUGCAUCAUUGGUAGCAACACCCUUGGUGUGUUAGUGGCGAACGGGUGAGUAACACGUGAGAAACCUGCCUCGAAGACGGGGAUAACAGUUGGAAACGACUGCUAAUACCCGAUAUCUCCAUCUGGUCGCAUGGCCGGGUGAAGAAAUGGAUUCCGCUUCGAGAGGGUCUCGCGGGCUAUCAGCUAGUUGGUGAGGUAACGGCUCACCAAGGCGACGACGGCUAGCUGGUCUGAGAGGACGACCAGCCACACUGGGACUGAGACACGGCCCAGACUCCUACGGGAGGCAGCAGUGGGGAAUCUUGCGCAAUGGGCGAAAGCCUGACGCAGCAACGCCGCGUGUGGGACGAAGGCUCUCGGGUUGUAAACCACUUUCAGCAGGAACGAAAUUGACGGUACCUGCAGAAGAAGCACCGGCCAACUACGUGCCAGCAGCCGCGGUAAUACGUAGGGUGCAAGCGUUGUCCGGAUUCAUUGGGCGUAAAGAGCUCGUAGGCGGCUUUGUAAGUCGGGUGUGAAAACCCCAGGCUCAACCUGGGGACGCCACUCGAUACUGCAAUAGCUAGAGUCUGGUAGGGGAUCACGGAAUUCCUGGUGUAGCGGUGAAAUGCGCAGAUAUCAGGAGGAACACCGGUGGCGAAG
rnacentral:rRNA from 1 species